UACGGAGGGUGCAAGCGUUAUCCGGAUUCACUGGGUUUAAAGGGUGCGUAGGUGGGUAGGUAAGUCAGUGGUGAAAUCUCCGUGCUUAACAUGGAAACUGCCAUUGAUACUAUAGGUCUUGAAUUUUCUGGAGGUAAGCGGAAUAUGUCAUGUAGCGGUGAAAUGCUUAGAUAUGACAUAGAACACCAAUUGCGAAGGCAGCUUGCUACAGGGAUAUUGACACUGAGGCACGAAAGCGUGGGGAUCAAACAGG
rnacentral:rRNA from 1 species